CAAAGGUCCGAAACAGAUGAAGCCCUGCUUGCAGGGUGGAUUAGUGGCGAACGGGUGAGUAACACGUGAGUAACCUGCCCCCGACUCUGGGAUAAGCCCGGGAAACUGGGUCUAAUACCGGAUAUGACUUCCUACUGCAUGGUGGGUUGUUGAAAGAUUUAUCGGUGGGGGAUGGACUCGCGGCCUAUCAGCUUGUUGGUGAGGUAAUGGCUCACCAAGGCGACGACGGGUAGCCGGCCUGAGAGGGUGACCGGCCACACUGGGACUGAGACACGGCCCAGACUCCUACGGGAGGCAGCAGUGGGGAAUAUUGCACAAUGGGCGGAAGCCUGAUGCAGCGACGCCGCGUGAGGGAUGACGGCCUUCGGGUUGUAAACCUCUUUCAGUAGGGAAGAAGCGAAAGUGACGGUACCUGCAGAAGAAGCGCCGGCUAACUACGUGCCAGCAGCCGCGGUAAUACGUAGGGCGCAAGCGUUAUCCGGAUUUAUUGGGCGUAAAGAGCUCGUAGGCGGUUUGUCGCGUCUGCCGUGAAAGUCCGAGGCUCAACCUCGGAUCUGCGGUGGGUACGGGCAGACUAGAGUGAUGUAGGGGAGACUGGAAUUCCUGGUGUAGCGGUGAAAUGCGCAGAUAUCACGAGGAACACCGAUGGCGAAGGCAGGUCUCUGGGCAUUUACUGACUCUCAGGAGCGAAAGCAUGGGG
rnacentral:rRNA from 2 species